CAAGCAUAAACGCCUCCUAUUUCUAAACAGAGCUUCUAAACGAACCCUCCCCGCGUUCACCGUCACGUCACCAGCGCUCUUGAACUACAUCAGGGCCGCCCUCGACAACACGAUUUUUCGCCAUCCUUCUCAAAACACAAGUAUCAACCCCGAUUCAUCAACAACGACCUUGGAGAUUCAUCGGUACUCAAGCAAGAUCAGUUCGGUUCUAAAUGGAGAGAUUCACUAUCAACAACCAAGUCGGGAGAUUCAAGAUCGAACUGAUAAGUCAUAUCUGCUGGUUAUCAUUCAGUACAAUUAUUAAUUGCAUCUUCUGUUUCCUCUCUUCAGAAAAAUGUUUUAGGGUUUUAAAAUCUUCAGAUUGCUUUCGAUGAGUUAGUCUAAAUUGAGAACCGGAACUAGUUUUUGCAGUUGCUUGUUUGUUCUAAUCGUUUUGAUAUAAGGGUUUUAAGCAGAUAUACAAAAUUUUGGCAUGUUGAUUCACCACAACCCUUUACUCCUAGCUCUAAUCCUAAAAUUGGCUCGAGAUUUGUAAUCAGCAUGUCUUCCUCGUCAUUACCCAUCAAAUCAUUUUUGAUUUAUUCUCAAUUUCUCGACCUAAUCGGAAUUUAGGUUUUUCCUGAUUGAUUUAAUCUCCCUUCCCCUCUCUUCUGUUUUUAAUCAGUCGGCAGGAAAUAUGAAACUGCUAGGUGUAUAUAAGACAGAAGAAGUCUAGUUCAAGCACCUGGUACACAGUUGUAACAUGGUUGUGGCAUCGUCCAGAAGCGGCUACUACGAAUCGGCUCUGUUUAUUGUCAUCUUCUCUUGGAGCAUAAUAACAACAAAUCAGCUACAAAGGUCUCUUGAUCGAAAUAUGGCUUGGGGGAGAUUAAUUCAGCUCGUCUCAUAUUAAGCGUAUCAGAAGUUCAACCAAAACCACUGCCUCGCAAUAGCCAACAAUUGCCUGAUAACCUUGUGAAUUAAUGGCACCAUCAGCGCUCGUCUUAGAAAGAAGAAUAUCAACAUCAAACUAAGGAGGCCGAUUACAGUCCCACAGUGCACAGCUGACCAUCCAAGCCACUGCCGUUUUGCCACGUGAUUCAUCAAAGACCGGGAGUCGACGAGAAUUGUAACUUGAGAAAGAGCGUGUAAGAUCUAGCCACCUAAUAUGAGUCUCAUCAGCGCCACUUGAAUGCAUCAGCGCCUCUUUUCCAUUGCCCAUCAUGCUCACAGGAUCAUGGAUAACAUACUAUGAAGGAUAAGAUUUAUACUUCUAUCCUUAAUCCCUUUAUGUUGCUUACCUGUUUUGCGGUUUGUAUGAGAUAUGGUUUUGAGAAAAGAAGAGAAAGGAAGGGACGUAUAUGUUAAUCUUCACGCAUUAAGGGUCACUAUAUCUUACGGCUUGUUCAUUAUCAAGGAUCGUUAUCAAAUGCCUAUCUAAUAUCUCCUGUAAUAUGUUCAGUAUCCUAAUUGCCUUGUUCAUAUGCUAAGCUGGUUGAUUGUUGCAUGCAGUAAUUCGGGAUGGUUUAUUGUUAUUAGCUUCCGCCAGUUACUCAUCUGCAUUGAAGAAUACUCUCAAAACGGAACAAAGAGCCGCUGGAGUUAGUAAGGGACAUCCACAGCUUCACUAUUUAAACUUGUAGGAUCGAAGAACUAAUGAGAAUAGGCGAGCUGUAACCCCGACUGCAACAGCUAAACCAUGGAAGUAGCCACCUCUGUGUUAGAAUACAGCUAAAUUAGUUCUGGAGAUCUCUUGGGUCAAAUCACAAUUGAUGAAGGAGAAACCAGUCCAUUGACGCGUGAUCAACCACUACCAGCUCAACCCAUGACAACAGCGCCAGCGCUUCCACUCUUUACAAAACUACCAGCCAGAGCUGAGAGAAGGAAGUUAUAGAGAAGCAGCGACGCAUUACUUAAUCCCAUCAGCACUACUUGACUGACUUCACCAGCAUCAUCACUUAACCAUCGGGAGAAAUAGAAGCCGUCCUGUUAAUGCCGCUCGCCUAUGCUAAAUCUCGCCAGCACCACUUCUCCCUUUUAAGCCUCUUCAUCUAAUAGGUAAGACUUGGUAGGCUUCUAUAUCUCCUAUUCAAGAUUACCUGAGAUGUAUGUUUUGUAUUUGAAAUCGUCAAGAACGUACCCCCUGAUCUAUAUGUUCGAAAUUUCAGAUGCCAUAGUUUAGUGUUUACUAAAAUGAAGGACUAGUACAUCUUUGGUGCCGCUUACAAUCCAUCGUAGUCCAGCCCGGCUAUUUUACACGCAUGUUAUACUUUAUUUUAUAGGAACACAUUUCUACGCUUCAUCGUAUGUCUAUCUUACACUCCAUUGUGCAUUUAGUCAAUUAAAAGCAUGAAAUGGCUAAGUUCUAUAUAGAUGUUUUAUGCUUUAUGA